UCCAAGGUUUCCAGAGUAAAGCUGAUCUGCUCUGGGUAAGUCGGGGCCUAAGGAGAGGUCGCAAGACGUAUCCGAUGGACAACAGGUUUAGAUUCCUGUACCGCAUAUAAACAGAACUGUGGGGACGCAUGUGGAAAGCAUAAGCCGGGAAUGGAAAGACCGGUACAAGCGGGGUAGGUGUGUGACAGGCAAAUCCGUCAUAUAAGCCGAAGACGUGAUGUGGAGCGAAAUUUAGUAGUGAAGUAUGUGAGCCAUGUGCCGAGAAAAGCCGCUAUUGUUUUAUAUGUGCCCGUACCGUAAACCGACACAGGUGGAUGAGGAGAGAAUCCUAAGGCCGACGGAAGAAGCAUUGUUAAGGAAUUCGGCAAAAUGACCCCGUAACUUCGGGAGAAGGGGUGCCCACUGAAUGGUGGGCCGCAGAGAAUAGGCUCAAGCAACUGUUUAGCAAAAACACAGGUCUAUGCGAAACCGAAAGGUGAGGUAUAUGGGCUGACGCCUGCCCGGUGCUGGAAGGUUAAGGGGAGAGGUUAGCGCAAGCGAAGCUUUGAACUUAAGCCCCAGUAAACGGCGGCCGUAACUAUAACGGUCCUAAGGUAGCGAAAUUCCUUGUCGGGUAAGUUCCGACCCGCACGAAAGGCGUAACGAUUUGGGCACUGUCUCAACAAUAGACUCGGUGAAAUUGUAAUCCCGGUGAAGAUGCCGGGUACCUGCGACAGGACGGAAAGACCCCAUGGAGCUUUACUGUAGCUUGACGUUGGGUCUUGGUACUACAUGUACAGGAUAGGUGGGAGACUAUGAAGCAUGGACGCCAGUCUGUGUGGAGUCAUCCUUGGGAUACCACCCUUGUAGUACUGGGAUCCUAACCAUAGGCCUUGAAUCAGGUCUUGGAACACCGUCAGGUGGGCAGUUUGACUGGGGCGGUCGCCUCCUAAAAAGUAACGGAGGCGCUCAAAGGUUUCCUCAGCACGGUCGGAAAUCGUGCGAAGAGUGUAAAGGCAAAAGGAAGCUUGAUUGCAAGACAUACAGGUCGAGCAAGGACGAAAGUCGGACUUAGUGAUCCGGUGGUACCGCAUGGAAGGGCCAUCGCUCAACGGAUAAAAGCUACCCUGGGGAUAACAGGCUUAUCUCCCCCAAGAGUCCACAUCGACGGGGAGGUUUGGCACCUCGAUGUCGGCUCAUCACAUCCUGGGGCUGUAGUAGGUCCCAAGGGUUGGGCUGUUCGCCCAUUAAAGUGGUACGCGAGCUGGGUUCAGAACGUCGUGAGACAGUUCGGUCCCUAUCCGUCGCAGGCGUAGGAAAUUUGAGAAGACCUGUCCUUAGUACGAGAGGACCGGGAUGGACGUACCUCUGGUGUACCAGUUGUUCUGCCAAGGGCAUGGCUGGGUAGCUAUGUACGGAAUGGAUAAGCGCUGAAAGCAUCUAAGCGCGAAGCCAACUUCAAGAUAAGAUUUCCCACCGUAAGGGUAAGACCCCAGGAAGACUACCUGGUUGAUAGGUCGAAGGUGUAAGUGCAGUAAUGUAUUUAGCUUAUCGAUACUAAUAGGUCGAGGACUUGACC
rnacentral:rRNA from 1 species